rnacentral:rRNA from 1 species
GUGAGGAAUAUUGCGCAAUGGAGGCAACUCUGACGCAGCCAUGCCGCGUGCAGGAAGAAGGCGCUACGCGUUGUAAACUGCUUUUAACCGGGAAGAAACCCCAGGACGUGUCCUGGGUUGACGGUACCGGAGGAAUAAGCACCGGCUAACUUCGUGCCAGCAGUCGCGGUAAUACGAAGGGUGCAAGCGUUAUCCGGAUUCAUUGGGUUUAAAGGGUGCGUAGGCGGAGCGUUAAGUCAGUGGUGAAAUCCUGCAGCUUAACUGUAGACUUGCCAUUGAUACUGGCGCUCUUGAGUGCGCUUGAAGUGGGCGGAAUGUGCCGUGUAGCGGUGAAAUGCUUAGAUAUGGCACAGAACACCAAUUGCGAAGGCAGCUCACUAAGGCGAUACUGACGCUGAGGCACGAAAGCGUGGGGAUCGAACAGGAUUAGAAACCCUGGUAGUCC